UACGUAGGGUGCGAGCGUUAAUCGGAAUUACUGGGCGUAAAGCGUGCGUAGGCGGUUGGCUAAGUCAGCUGUGAAAGCCCCGGGCUUAACCUGGGAAUGGCGGUUGAAACUAGUCGACUUGAAUCUGGCAGAGGAGAGUGGAAUUCCCGGUGUAGCGGUGAAAUGCGCAGAUAUCGUAAGGAAGACCAGUGGCGAAGGCGGGUCUCUGGACAGUUCCUGACGCUGAGGCACGAAGGCCAGGGGAGCAAACGGG
rnacentral:rRNA from 1 species